UACGGAGGAUGCGAGCGUUAUCCGGAUUUAUUGGGUUUAAAGGGUGCGUAGGCGGGCUUUUAAGUCAGCGGUAAAAUUGCGGGGCUCAACCCCGUCGAGCCGUUGAAACUGGCAGACUUGAGUUGGCGAGAAGUACGCGGAAUGCGCGGUGUAGCGGUGAAAUGCAUAGAUAUCGCGCAGAACUCCGAUUGCGAAGGCAGCGUACCGGCGCCAGACUGACGCUGAGGCACGAAAGCGUGGGGAUCGAACAGG
rnacentral:rRNA from 1 species